ACAGCUUGAGCCCUUUAGCACUCCACGAAACUUCUUCAGAUCCUGAAGAACAGUGACUCAUCUAUAUAGACUUGGUCGACAUCGUGUUAAAGCUGGAAGUGCGGCUUGGAGUUGCACGGCCUCAGCCAGUUUGGUCUACAUACAAUCACUUUUCCCAUUCAACAGAGCAAGAUACAUAGAAAAACUGAGCCGUGUUGAGGGGAAGAGUCGACCCAAACAAAUGGCCGGAGGUUCCAAAGCAAUUGUUCUGACAGGAACUCAAAUCAUGUUACGAAGUGAUCUACAUACGCCGGGGUGCGGUUACACGAGGCGUUUCAGUCAGAUGGAGCUACAGACAUCUGCAUGAGGAGAACCUGACGUUGACUGCAGUGUUUCCUUGGAGCUUAACCACCUGAGAACAUGACCAAAUCUACAAACCUUAAAGUGUCUUUAUACGCCGUAAAAUGUUGAUGCUAGAAUUUACAAAUAAGUUGUGAAGUUGCCAAAGUUGUUACAUUUGUAUUUCCUCAGCUCUUCGAGUGAAUAUACGUCCAGCGGCAUCUUGUAAUCCCGUCCCCCUGCGGGAGCCUACGGACUGACUGACCAUCCUAACCUCAUCUCAGGCAGUUCCUGUGGAGUAGCUAUACAAAUAAAUAACAAAACUAAUCUGCCACAUGUGGGAAAAUAAAACUGGCAUAAUUGGAUACUUUCAUUGUUUGUGAAAAGCGAGGGGAUUGAUUUUGACUCUUCAUUUCCUUCAUGCGGCAAUUACGCAGACAUUUUUUUCAGUCCAGAAAAAUCACAAUCUCAGUUAAAGACGAUGGCAUUUGAUCACCAAGUUACUGCUACUACAGACACUAUUGAGUCAGCUAACUGCUCAUUUAAGGUGUCGCAUCAGCUUGUUAUUGUCGCAAGAAGAAAUAAAAGUGGUGCAAACUCUUGCAACGCCAAGACGUUAGUUUCUGUUCAGAUGAGGUGAAGGUCAAUUUUUAAAGCAUAUUGUACAACACUUUAAACUGCCCAUGUGUGGUGUGACUACAGAGCAUUUAGUUUACAGAAGCUGCAAGUAGAUUAUAAUGAUGUAAUGAGAAUCUUACUAAUGAUAUAGAUGUCAUAGUGUAGUGAAAUGUUUGAGUGUAAGAGUAAUCACUUUAUAAAGCACUGCUAAGAAAUCUAAUGUAUAGUUUUAUCCAUAGGCUCAAUGCUUCUAUAAAUGAAACUAUUGUGGGUCAAAUAUAUGUGUCAGUCAAG